UUGCAUAUUCCUUCUUAGGCAACAACUGCAUGAAGUCUGAAACCGAAUGAGCUCACCAAAUUCUCUGUAAUCGUUUCAGGGGCUUUGCUGCAGUCACUUCAUCUUCUCGCCUGUUCUUGGAGAGUUCUGACGUGUUUUGUUUCUACUGAUUACGAGAUCUGAAAUCACAAAUUUCUUGAUUGCAAAGCAAAACUAGCUGCUUUGACUUUGCUGUCCCAAUACCUUUGGAGGGCACUGCAGCUGUGUACAUACUGUAUAAUUCUUAGUUUUCAGUUUCGUGUGCAGCUAUUACUAAAGAGGCGUUCAUGCAGGCAUUAAGCAAUACUGGCUGGCAUUUAUCUGCUUUUUCAGAACAGUGCAUAGCGAAAGCUCUGGGCUUGAACGCUCUUUCAGGAACACAUGAUGCAAAGUGGCAAGGUGUCAGUGAACCCAGGUCCUGUCCUUUGGAAGAAAAAUACAGAAAGCGCGAGGACAUGGAGAGGUGCUCAAGCAAGCGGACAAAUGUCACGAUGGAGACCAGAAAAAAACAAAACAGGCACAAUAUGUCAUCGUGAAGGAAGAGAGGAUGCGAGGUUGUGUUUCAUUGUAAUUGUGCAGCUGUUGUUGUCCCGUUCACAAUGGCCAGUAAUGAGACGUGCUGACCGCAGGUGAAGCUGGUCAAGGGUGUUGCUGCCUCCCCCCAGAAACAACCCUGGAGGCAGAGGGAGGUUUGGGUUACAUCACAGGAACCUGCAGCCUGUUAGAUCUCAUUCAGAGAUGCCUGUUUAUUGUAAAGCCCUCCAGGUUGCAGUGUCGGAUGAAAUGACCUUGAUUGGGAAGAAGUAGGGAGCUGCGUCAGCAUGCGUAGGCUGCACAGGAACAGGUAAAGGUUUAUUCCAUGCUGAAAACAAAGGAGUCACACCUGAAGAAGGCUCCACCGCCGUUUCCAUUUAUGUGUUUUAAUUAUGCUGAAUUAUGUAUUUGCUCAGAUUGGUGUCAGUUGUACUGAACAUACCCUACAGUCUUACAGGUCUUACAGGUUACCCUACAGGAAACCCAGACUGGUACCAGGCCUCUGACACUGUGUAAUAGGCCAUAGCGCUUGUGGCAAGCCCACAUGCCCAGUCCAGGUCAGGAAUUAAGUGUCCGAACCCAAUGCUGCUGUUUCCCAAAUUUCCAAAUCAGAACAUGCUAACCACACCUUCCAGUAAAAGAGAGUGAAUUUCACAGUUCAACAAAAUUCUGAAAAAAAGUUUUUCUGGUCACACAGCUACCAGGAUAUGUUCUGAGGCUCAUAUGUAAUAUAUAGUAUAUAUGACAGUAUAUACCGUUUGUUUUUUUUCAUUUAAAAUUCAGUUUAUGACAAGGGAAGGCAACUUUCUGUUUUAUGAGAGCUGAAGUAUGUUAAAUAAGAGCUUUGGCACCACCCAUUUUACAUACAAAAAAAUUGUGUGGUUUGGCAUAAACUUAAAUACUAUUUGCGGAAACGUAAAUGGAUUUCUGCAAUUUUUUAUAAACGGUUGUUUAAUUGUGCAUAUAGCCCAAAUUACUUGUGGUUAAUUCACCUGUUAUUUUUAACUGGAUAACAAACCUUUUAAAUGAUGUUCAUUAAAUAGUUCAGACAACCCAAACCCCAAAAUAAGUACCAUUGAUUGCCUUGGAUUCAAGAUCAAAGAGAAGGAGAAAUGACACAAUUAUUUGGAUAUCUGAUACACAUCAGCUGUUUUCUGAGCUCUUCCUGUAUUGUGCUUUGACCCAAGCAAAAAAACUCCAAAUGAUAACAAUAAUAAAAAUCGAAGUGGCU
ensembl:lincRNA